rfam:Thioalkalivibrio sulfidophilus HL-EbGr7, complete genome.
GGGGGCGACCUGGCUUCGACGUGGUUCGCGAAACCCGAGGUGCAUGCCGAGGAGACAGCUUCCCUCGUAAAACCAGCUGUUACGCUAUAGUUGCCAACGACGACAACUACGCUCUGGCUGCGUAAAACCAGCUAGACCUUCGACUGGACUUGCUUGUGGGUCCUACUUGAAGGUCAUCGCACACAAGCUCGCGGAGCGGACUCGCCCGGGUCUUAACCGUUAAAUCCAAUCGGGAUCGCGUCUGGGUAUCCUGUCCGUCGGAGACUCAGACGUAAAAUCAAAUGACGGCACUAAGCAUGUAGUAUCCAAGGAUGUAGGUCCUGCGGACGCGGGUUCGAUUAACACAAUGGUCGCCUCUACCC